CAAUAGCGUAUAUUAAAGUUGUUGCAGUUAAAAAGCUCGUAGUUGGAUAUGUGGUUUGCGGUGGGUUCCGGGCACUUGUUGUCCGAGUAACUUGCCGCUGCCAUCCUUGGGUGGAACCUGUGUGGCAUUAGGUUGUCGUGCAGGGGAUGCCCAUCGUUUACUGUGAAAAAAUUAGAGUGUUCAAAGCAGGCUUAUGCCGUUGAAUAUAUUAGCAUGGAAUAAUAAGAUAGGACUUUGUCGCUAUUUUGUUGGUUUGCGCGAUAAGGUAAUGAUUAAUAGGGACAGUUGGGGGUAUUCGUAUUCCAUUGUCAGAGGUGAAAUUCUUGGAUUUUUGGAAGACGAACUACUGCGAAANCANNNACCAAGGAUGUUUUCAUNAA
rnacentral:rRNA from 1 species